UACAGAGGGGGCAAGCGUUGUUCGGAUUUACUGGGCGUAAAGGGCGCGUAGGCGGCGUAACAAGUCACUUGUGAAAUCUCCGGGCUUAACCCGGAGCGGCCAAGUGAUACUGUUGUGCUAGAGUGCGGAAGGGGCUACUGGAAUUCUCGGUGUAGCGGUGAAAUGCGCAGAUAUCAGGAGGAACACCUAUUGCGAAGGCAGCUCGCUGGGACGUAACUGACGCUGAGACGCGAAAGCGUGGGGAGCAAACAGG
rnacentral:rRNA from 1 species